UGUCCGAUGGUGUAACGGUAGCACAAGAGAUUUUGGUUCUCUCGGUCUAGGUUCGAACCCUGGUCGGACAACAA
rnacentral:tRNA from 1 species